CUUCUCUUUCUCUUUCUCUUUCUCUCGACAGAAUCAAUGGCCUUGUCUCAGCCCAUGGCGUUUCUGUUGAUCUCUUUGACAGAUCAGUAUUAACACGGCGGCGGAGCAGAAUCCGGCGAAGCCCAUGGUGGAGACGAAAAACGCGAUGCGGAGGGAGACGCGAGAAGAUCAAGCCUCAGCUAGGAAAAACUGUGUAAAGUUCAUCCCUUUAGGCUCAAGUCACUGUGCUGACAAUCGCAAGGGAACAACAAACCUGACAUUGAGCCUUUGAUGACUUAAACAAAAGUUUUGCAGGUGAAGCUUUAUUGUUACAAGAUGUGUUUCUUCUCCUUCAAGUGUUUGUCCUUAUCAGGUUUCUGAGUCUACCACCACAACCUCCACAGGGACAUUGUUACAAGAUGUGUUUCAUCUCAUCACAGAGGAUGUGGAUUUAAAGCCUAUGGAAGCUAACGUCACGCU